rnacentral:rRNA from 1 species
GGAUGAACGCUAGCUACAGGCUUAACACAUGCAAGUCGAGGGGAAACGAUAUUGGAAGCUUGCUUCUGAUAGGCGUCGACCGGCGCACGGGUGAGUAACGCGUAUCCAACCUGCCCAUCACUUGGGGAUAACCUUGCGAAAGUAAGACUAAUACCCAAUGACGUCUCUAGAAGACAUCUGAAGGAGAUUAAAGAUUUAUCGGUGAUGGAUGGGGAUGCGUCUGAUUAGCUUGUUGGCGGGUAACGGCCCACCAAGGCGACGAUCAGUAGGGGUUCUGAGAGGAAGGCCCCCCACAUUGGAACUGAGACACGGUCCAAACUCCUACGGGAGGCAGCAGUGAGGAAUAUUGGUCAAUGGACGAGAGUCUGAACCAGCCAAGUAGCGUGCAGGAUGACGGCCCUAUGGGUUGUAAACUGCUUUUAUAAGGGAAUAAAGUGAGUCUCGUGAGACUUUUUGCAUGUACCUUAUGAAUAAGGACCGGCUAAUUCCGUG